rnacentral:lncRNA from 1 species
AGGAAGCCCUCAGCAGUCCUCCUCCACAGCCUCUGUCUCCUCCAAGGCCCAGCUCCAGGUGUCUUCCUGUUUGAGUUCCUGCCCUGGCUGCUUUCAAUGACGGAUGAGCCGAUACUGAAUAAUUUGGACUCCGUAGAAAGUUUGCAACAACUACUUGGGCGACUGAAAAAUCAGAAAUAUUAAGAGAGAGAUCCAGAAACCAUUUGCCCUGGGAACUGUUACCAGGUGAACACGCUUAUAACUGGUGGUGAAGAAAUUUCACCAGAAACCAGCAGCUUCUCAGAAUGUCACAUGCCAACCCCAGCACUGCCAAUCGACUACAACUUGGUUUCAUUAUGAAGACCAGGCUGGCCUUGAACUCAGAAAUCCACUUGUGUCUGCCUCCUGAG